GAUGAGGUGGCUGAGUGGUUAAGGCAAUAACCUAAUAGUCCAUUGUGCUCUACAUGCAUGGGUUUGAAUCCCAUGCUUGUCA
rnacentral:tRNA from 1 species